rnacentral:rRNA from 1 species
UACGUAGGGUGCAAGCGUUGUCCGGAAUUAUUGGGCGUAAAGAGCUCGUAGGCGGUUUGUCGCGUCUGCUGUGAAAACUCAGGGCUUAACCCUGAGCCUGCAGCGGGUACGGCAGGACUGAGAGUGUGGUAAGGGGAGAUCGGAAUUCCUGGUGUAAGCGGUGGAAUGCGCAGAUAUCAGGAGGAACACCGGUGGCGAAGGCGGAUCUCUGGGCCAUAACUGACGCUGAGGAGCGAAAGCAUGGGGAGCGAACAGG